rnacentral:lncRNA from 1 species
ACUCCCUGUACAGAUCUCUGAUAAUACGGCACAACCAUUCUCAUCACAGGGUGAAAUUCUGAUGUUCCUGAAAUCAAGGAAAUAUUUCCAUUGACUUCAGCAGAACCAGGAUUUCAACCACUUUUUUAGUGCCGUGCUCUUUCAGGUAAGAAAAUGCAGAAAUAUUGAGAACGCAUGGCAUAAACGUAUAUGCCAUGUAGACAAUUUCCCUACAAAAACAAAAAACGGAAAAGUCAGACUGAACUGAUUUGACUGUUCUACAAAUCUCUCUUGACAGCUGGGGCCAGCACAGCUUUCCACUAAAGCUUUUGGCCUGGGUAGAUUAUUUUGAUUAAAUAAAUAUACCUACAAGAUAUGGAAGACAUCUGCUUGAGUGUGAACUGAGCUGCUUCUAGAUUGGCAUUGAGUCUAAGAGAUAUCUGCAGAAACUAAGUAAACUUGGUCACAUGGACUUUACAACUUUCUACUUAAGUUUUGAAGGGAGCCCUGACCAUGUCCUGAGACAUAAGCUGAGGGAGCUUGAUUUGAAAAUGACAGCCCUAGAUAUAAUGCUAGCAUCAGCCAAGAAUUCUCCUUGAGGCCUUGAUAAGCUCAAGAAAAUUCCUGUUCACUCAGUGCCACCCUAGAAGGCCAAAAGUUUGGACACUUGUGCUCUAUACCCUUGGCUGAAGACGCUCCUUUCACUUUGUCACAUUUACAGUUGGCUGCAUGGACUUUACAAAAAACAUGUCUACCUUGAAGCCAGGAUAAGAAAAUACAGCAUCUCCAAACUUCUCUUCUUUUUUCUGAAUCGUGAUUAAUAUUCUGUCACAACAUUUUUAUAUUAGAAGCCAGUUGCCAGUUUGGCCAUUAGGAGCUUUGUUGAUUGGGAUAUCUCACUUACUGUUAAAGUGAAACAGGAUUAUAGUUUUUAAAUUCAACAAGGGA